CAAUCCAAAAUACGAGUAAGUUUUUUAUCGCAGAGACCGUGGAGGCAAGCUCCCCGGUCGACGAAAGUCGCUUGAUUUUCUUCAACAUUCGGCACCCGUUUUCAUGUCUAGGCUGCCAGACGCAAAGUGACAUCUCCACUCUUGGACCAUGGAUGUACACAGUUUUGGUGUGGAGCCCAUCACCUGCCACACAUGGAACAAGGAUCGUACAGAGGUGGCACUGUGCCCCAACAACGCGGAUGUGCAACUCUACAAGCGAGAGGCGGGCGGAGGAUGGUCUCCGGGGCAGACACUCAGCCGGCACGACCUGCGAGUGACUAGCAUCGACUGGGCCCCACGGAGUAACCGCAUUGUGACGUGUUCUGCAGACCGCAAUGCGUACGUCUGGACUCUGGGCUCGGAGGAGCCUGGUACCAACGCCACGGUGUGGACCCCCACCUUGGUGCUGCUGCGAAUCAACCGUGCUGCCACCUGUGUUCGGUGGUCGCCCCUUGAGAACAAGUUUGCCGUGGGGUCGGGUGCCAAGCUGGUGUCAGUGUGCUACUUUGAGAAGGACCACAACUGGUGGGUGAGCAAGCACAUCAAGAAGCCCAUCAAGUCAACUGUCACCUCGGUCGACUGGCACCCCAACAACUGCCUGCUUGCCUGCGGCUCCACCGACUUCCGCACCAGGGUGUUCUCUGCAUACAUCAAGGAGGUGGACACUGCUCCUGAGCCGACACCCUGGAACGACAAGACCACCUCGUUUGGCAGUCUAGUGGCUGAACUGUCUGCCAGUGGCAUUGGCUGGGUGCACUCGGUGUGCUUCUCGGGGGAUGGCACCCGGUUGGCCUGGGUUGGCCACGACUCGAGCGUGUGCGUCGCGGAUGCCCAGCGGGGGCAGGCCAUCACUUGCGUGCGCACCCCAUACCUGCCAUUCCUCUCCUGUCUCUGGAUCUCUCCCACGAGGCUGCUGGUGGCCGGUUAUGACUGCUACCCCAUGGUGUACGAGUACAGCAAUGGCCAGCUAAGCUUUGUUGACAAACUGGACAAAUCGCAGCGCAAGGAAGGUGGAUGGUGUCAGCGUUAAUGUGGUAACCUCCGGAAGCAGCCAGCACGACUCAACAGAUGACGACCCCGAAGUUAUCAGCCCAGCUGCGUAUUGCCAUGCGCAAGUUCCUCAACAUGGACAAGCAUGCGAUGGAGAGCCGGGGUGACACCCUGCUGGACACGGCACACCAGAAUGCCAUCA
rnacentral:misc_RNA from 1 species